UACUUGAAGGUCUUCCUUGUGCCCUGGAGGU
rnacentral:piRNA from 1 species